rnacentral:rRNA from 1 species
CGCAUCUGUGCAUGCAGCAUAUCAAUAAGCGGAGGAAAAGAAACUAACAAGGAUUCCCUUAGUAACGGCGAGUGAAGCGGGAAGAGCUCAAAUUUGAAAUCUUCAAGGUUUUACCUUGACGAAUUGUAGUUUAAAGAAGUGUUUUCUGCUGAAGUUUUGGUAAAAGUUCUUUGGAAUAGGACAUCAUAGAGGGUGAGAAUCCCGUAUUUGACCAUUAUUUUCAGCUUUGUGAUACACUUUCAAAGAGUCGGAUUGUUUGGGAAUGCAGUCCAAAAUGGGUGGUAAAUUUCAUCUAAAGCUAAAUAUUGGCGAGAGACCGAUAGCGAACAAGUACCGUGAGGGAAAGAUGAAAAGAACUUUGAAAAGAGAGUUAAACAGUACGUGAAAUUGUCAAAAGGGAAGCGUUUGACACCAGUGUUGUUUUCUCGAAAAUCAAUUAAAAAUGGCUCGAUUUUGUAUUGCUGAGACCUUAAAAGCUCACUGUACAUUUUUCGUGUCUUUUUUAAUGCACUUUUCGUUUAACAAGUUAACAUCAGUUUCUUUUGUUGUAAAAGGGUCAUUGGAAGGUGGCUUUCUUUUCGGAGAAAGUGUUUAUAGCCUUUGGCCUCUGUAAUCGGAAGAGACUGAGGUCUGCAGCGUAGACUCUUCGGGGUUAGAUACAUUUGUGCUAAGUUAUAGCUUUUUAUAGACAACUUGUUGACUAUAAUUAGUCUUGUAGCUUACUCGCUUAUGCUAUUUUACCUACGCUUAGGAUGUUGACGCAUGAGAUAUACGC